GGAUUGAACGCUGGCGGCAUGCCUUACACAUGCAAGUCGAACGGCAGCACGGGAGCAAUCCUGGUGGCGAGUGGCGAACGGGUGAGUAAUAUAUCGGAACGUGCCCAGUCGUGGGGGAUAACGCAGCGAAAGCUGUGCUAAUACCGCAUACGAUCUAUGGAUGAAAGCGGGGGAUCGCAAGACCUCGCGCGAUUGGAGCGGCCGAUAUCAGAUUAGCUAGUUGGUGGGGUAAAAGCCUACCAAGGCGACGAUCUGUAGCUGGUCUGAGAGGACGACCAGCCACA
rnacentral:rRNA from 1 species